CGGGACAGGAUGGGACAAGACAAAACACACGUCCGACUGCUAUGCCAUCUUGGGUCGUCCGAGUUAGGGGAAGGUUAGGCCGGCAGGGAUGUCCUUGUCCCAUUGAGCACUAGCGACUCCUAUGGCUGGCCGGGCGCAGUGCACAUUGACACGGGUGCCAGGUGUACGGUGUUUCCCCCAACACAUUGGUGUGGCUGGCUUCUGGGUUAAGUGGGCAUUGUGUGAAGAGGCAGUGCGGCUUGGCUUGGUUGGGUUGUGUUUCAGAGGACGCACGGCUCUCGACCUUCGCCUCUCCCGAGUCCGUACGGGAAUUGCAGCGAUGAGACAAGACUGCAACUACCAAUUGGAUAACACGAAUACGUGGUAAAAACAAAAAAAUAAACACAGCCAAUGUGCUUAACAAAUAAAAUUAUGAAAAAUGUGACAGAAAAACAGUUUUCUUUACAAAUAUAUGAUUAAGAUAGACAAGAAUAUAAUUAAGAGACACAUUUUUGUGGUAGUGGAAUAAGAUUAAAAAGUUUUACUUUAAACAUGUUAUUUGAGUAGUGAAAUAAUUUAAAAUGCCCAUCCCUAGUCAGUAGUGGUCAGUAGUUGGGUGGUUGUGGUCAGUAGUUGUGUGAUCAUUAGUUGAGUGGUUGUGGUCGGUAGUUGUGGUCAGAGGUGGUCCCUAGUUUUAGUAAGUAGGUGUGUAGUUCUGUAGUUGUGGUCAGCAGUUGUGUGGUUGUGGUCAGUAGUUGUGGUCAAUAGUUGUGGUCAGUAGUUGUGUGGUUGUGGUCAGUAGCGUUCAGUAGUUAUGGUCAGUAGUUGUGUGGUUAUGGUCAGGAGUUGUGGUCAGUAGUUGUGAGGUCAGUAGUUAGUUGGUUCUGGUCUGUAGCUGUGGUCAGUAAUUGUGGUCAGUAGUUGUGUGACUGGUCAUUAGCUGUGUGAUCAGCAAUUGUGGUUAGUAAUUGUGUUGUGGUAAGUAGGUGUGUGGUUCAGAAGUUGUGGUCAGUAGUUGUGUGGAUAUGCUUAGUAGUUGUGGUCAGUAGAUGUGUGGUUGUGUUCAGUAGUUGUGGUCUGUAGUUGUGUUGUUGUGUCGUAUUGUGUUCAGUAGUUGAGUGGUUGUGGUCAGUAGUUGUGUGGUUCAGUAGUUGUGGCCAGGAGU
ensembl:lncRNA